AGUGGGAUAAACCCGGUAGAUUCCAAAUAGCCCGCGAUAAGUUCCCAUCCCGCCUUGCGCAGGUUGACAUGCGCACGAGUUUAUAAACAUAGUUCCAUCGCCGCCGCUCGCAGUGACCAGUGACCCGCCGGCCGGUAACACACAACCUGUUUAAAUUUAAAUUAUUUUACUCAAAAACAAUAAUGGAGAAGCUGGCCGUGCUCUUUGUUUUCGCCAUUUUUGCCAGUGAAGCAUUUGGACAGAAUAAUAAUAAUGGGGACUUGGAUGACCGAUUCGGAAACCAGUUUGCGGCCCUGUUC